rnacentral:tRNA from 1 species
CAGGAGAUAGUUUAGGUAGAAUAUCAGCUUUGGGUGUUGAUGGUGAAGUUUGAAGCUUCUCUCUUGA